GGGCCGGCCUAGGACUGUGCAGACCACAGUUCAAAUCCUCAAGUAGCCAUGAAGUUUUAUGUGAAGAGCCUAGCCUAAUUCAACCUAAUUUUCCUCACCAGGUUGUUGCAAGAAAAAAAAUGGAGGAUGAAUUCACAGGGAGAAGGACAUAACUAAAAUAUCAAAGAUGAAUAACAUUGCUCCACUUUACAGGGCCAUUAAAAGUUAUACAGAAUUCAUUCAAGUGGGUUGCAUACUCGCAACCUACUAUAAAUGCUAAUUAUAUUUACUAAUCUAAAGAAAUAUCUGACAAGUGUUUUGAGGUUAAGAAUAAAAGGAGUUAGGG